CACGUUUGUUUUUCUGGCGAAAGAGGCGCAAGAUGAAUGCUUCUUGACAAGACUCGAUUAUUCUGUGGGCUCUAUACACCAAGAUGCCUGAGGGGGAGAAACAUAAUUUAAACUACAGAACAGGUGUGAGGGUAAAUCUGGCCCCCGUUCCUCCAUCUUGGCUGGAAGUGGAAGUCCCGGUGGAUAUUUUUGAGCCCCUGAUGUAUGCCAGGCACUGCUGUAAGCACUGAGUAUUCAAAGAUGAACAAAAUGAUGUGGCCCCAGUCUCCUAAAAUUUACUAUCAAGAGAAGAAGACAACAGGAAUGAAUGAGAGUUCCUGCUGCUCAACAUUCUUGCCAGCAUUUGGUAUCGUCAGUGUUCCAGAUUUGGGACCAUUCUAAUAG
rnacentral:lncRNA from 1 species